GAUAAAUAAGUGUAGGCGGGAAAUUUUGCCGCAGUAAUAGUACAUAAACCGCGAAUUUUGUAAAUAGGAGAUGGGUAUUUAAAGCUACAACAUAGGAGAAAUCGAGCUAUUGGCAAACAAAAGGUUGAGUGAGAGACUAAAAGUAAAGUAAAAUCUUCAAAAGAAAAAAAAAACAAACAAAUUCAUAUUUAUAAUCUGUGUGGUAGAAUAAAAUUAAAAUUUGAAUAAGUGCAUUAAUCUAUUUGCUCGUUGGAAUAAUAAAAAAAUAUUAAAGUUAAUGAAAAUUGAAAUUAUACCUAGCUAUUUUUUUUGGGAAAAUUUAUUCUCAUAAGAGAUAUUGAUGCACUCAUCCUAAACCACACAGUGAUAAAUAGCCAGGUAACAUUUAUAAGAUUUGUUAUACAAAUAUUUAAAAUUUACCCUAAAGAAACUAAAGAGAAAAGUAUAGUGGUCUCCGAUAUGAUUGGUAUUUUUGUGGCUGCAUAAGCGGUGGAAAAA